AGGUGGCUAUGGCGGCGGGGUCCCACCUCUUCCCAUUCCGAACAGAGAAGUUAAGCCCGCCUGCGCCGAUGGUACUGCAAUGCAAUGCGGGAGAGUAGGUGGCCGCC
rnacentral:rRNA from 1 species